rnacentral:rRNA from 1 species
CCUACGGGGGGCAGCAGUGAGGAAUAUUGGUCAAUGGCCGGAAGGCUGAACCAGCCAUGCCGCGUGAAGGUCAGUGCCCUAUGGGCGUUAAACUUCUUUUGUGCGGGAGCAAUAAUGGUCACGUGUGGCCAGACGAGAGUACCGUACGAAUAAGCAUCGGCUAACUCCGUGCCAGCAGCCGCGGUAAUACGGGGGAUGCAAGCGUUAUCCGGAUUUAUUGGGUUUAAAGGGUGCGUAGGCUGUGAGGUAAGUCAGCGGUGAAAUGCCCCCGGUCAACGGGGUGAAGUGCCAUUGAUACUGCCUGGCUGGAAUGCGGAUGCCGUGGGAGGAAUGUGUGGUGUAGCGGUGAAAUGCAUAGAUAUCACACAGAACACCGAUUGCGAAGGCAUCUCACGAAUCCGCGAUUGACGCUGAUGCACGAAAGCGUGGGUAUCAAACAGGAUUAGAUACCCUGGUAGUC